rnacentral:rRNA from 1 species
UUUUAUGGAGAGUUUGAUCCUGGCUCAGGAUGAACGCUGGCGGCGUGCCUAAUACAUGCAAGUCGAGCGAACAGAUAAGGAGCUUGCUCCUUUGACGUUAGCGGCGGACGGGUGAGUAACACGUGGAUAACCUACUUAUAAGACUGGGAUAACUUCGGGAAACCGGAGCUAAUACCGGAUAAGAUUUUGAACCGCAUGGUUCAAUAGUGAAAGACGGCCUUGCUGUCACUUAUAGAUGGAUCCGCGCCGUAUUAGCUAGUUGGUAAGGUAACGGCUUACCAAGGC